rnacentral:tRNA from 1 species
GGAAAGAUGCUCGAGUGGUUGAAGAGGCACGCCUGGAAAGCGUGUAUACCCCUAAAGGGUAUCGGGGGUUCGAAUCCCCCUCUCUCCG